UCGCAGUUUUAUAGUCGAUUGCCCGCGCAUCUCUACACCGUGCAGUUUUGUUUCUGUUUUUUAUUUGUUUUGUUUUAUUUCACGACAUUCGCAAUACGGUCAACUGUAAAAUGUGACAAAGCAGUGUCACCUAGGUACCAACGGCGGCAUUAUGAUGGCCCUGAACAUAUUCACUACCAAGAUGACUGAGUUGGACCAGCCACGCCGUUUCAGAUUGAGAUUGACUGGAAGGACUGCGGAUUUUUUUUUACUAGAUCUAGAGCAGGAUCAAGGCGCCUUACGCUGGACACCUGUUAGAACCUGGUCACCUGUGGUGUUUCGCCCAAGAUGGGCCUAAAUGAAGCUUCUCCUCAAGCAUGUCCUUCCCUUUGUGUUAGAACAGGAGAGAAACUACAAGCUCUUGUAUUUCCUAUAUUAUAUACAUAAAUAGAAAUUGUAUGUAAAGAAAACCUUGGGCAAUCCAAAGUGGAUGAUACUAUCAGGCAGGCUCCGUUUUUCACUUGCUCUUGCGGAUUACGUUUUCAGCCAAAACGUUUCGUUUUAGGGUCUUGUUGUUGUUGCCCUGGCCAUUUUUUCCGAGCCAAAAAGAGGUUGGGUUAAAAUAAAAUUAUUUAUAAAGAAAGAAAAAGUUAUAUUACCCCCGAUAUAGAUAUCAAGUUUAUGUUAAUGCAUCAAUAAGUCAUCUAUAUUUUUCCAUUUGACAUUAAGGUUCGUUUUGUUGUAUAAAAAGCCGUUUACUUUUCAUUUCGUCAACGAAAAUGUUUUCGUUUUGAAAGCGAAUAAAUCUUGCGGAAUUCGAAAACGGGAGCCCCAAUAAAUGUGUAUUCAAAAGUAAAUCGAAAAACUUUUGUAAAUGUGAAAAAAGGAGCCUGGCUGUACAUAUAUAUUUCAGAGAUUUUGUUCCGACUUGUUAGUCUGAAAUUUAAUUCCUUCCAUUUGGUUUUUUUUUUAGGGAAUGUAUUACCCAUUGGACCAGUCUCUAAGUGAACUGAAAUAAACGUAAGAUUUGAUUAAACAAAAUGUCUGCCCAAACUCUAAAAAAGUCAACCCAAAGGUUUUAGUAUAUUCAUGUAAUUAGUUUUCUUUUUUAUUAUUCACUUUAACAAGCAAAAACAUUCAAUAUAGUGUGUGUUUUGUGUAUACAUAUACAUACAUGUACAUACAUAUAUAUAUAGGUUCAUAAUCGUAUAUACGAGUAUAUCUAAUGUCACGCUUUUGGGCCAUGGCAACAUUUGUGUGCUGUAUGUAUGCGUAUUCUGGUUGGAUCUGGAUUGGAUUGCUGCCUUUUGUAUAUAGUAUAUGGACUUAACUGUUUAGCUUCGCAAAUUAGUGAUAACAUAUACAUAUGGAGGAUAUAUCCUGCUUCUUCUAUAUCGUCGUCUUAUGUAAAUGCAAGCCUUAUACUUUUGCGUUACAUAAUACAUACAUAUAUAUUGUAUAUACAUAUAUAUGGUAUAUAUAUAAUUUGUAUAGAGGUGUGUGGGGGUGUGUGUCUGUAUAUAUAUGUAAAUAUGUUGAGCAAAUCAAUAUUUUGUGUUCUUCAGCGCGAGUGCCGCCCCCGAAAAAUCUUAUGCUAAAUAGUUGCUUCUUUGGAUUUUCUCAUUUUGUUAUUGGAUUUGUUCUUGCUCUAAAUAUUACGCUUACAAAAAUACAGAUCAUCUCAAAUACUUGUCAAUGCUUCACAGUUGUACACAGUUAUACAUACAUAUAUAGAGCCACAUAUAGAGUUAUACGGCGUGUUGCAUACACACAUACAUAUACAUACAUGGUUAUACUCUCCCGAUCCGAUCUCUCCCAUCUACUAAUACUUGGAUCGCCUCUGCUUCCGCUUCCUUUGCAUUUUAUUUAGCAACUGUGUCUUUUUUUUUGGGUGCUCGGCUUUAAGCGGUGCUCCAAAACAUGAAUCCUUUGGAGAUUCGAUUGCAGGCUGGAUCUAAUCCUCCGCUCUAGAGGAUCGGUCACUGCUUUCGGAUAAUGGUAAAUGCAUUUAGAAGCUUUUCGUCUGCUCGUAGUACAAUAUUUGUGCUAUAAUUUAAGUACAGUCCAGGCCCGAUAACUAGAAGCACCUUUUAACUAGACCGACAAAAAAAAGUAUUUCUCAUUUCUGGACGUUUUCAUUUGAUUUGAAUUCUUUGGUUUCAAGAGUACACACGAAUUAUAAGUUAAGGGGGAGACGACGUUAGCAUUUUGAGAUGCCUGGGGACAUCACGUUAUUUUGUAUAGUUUUUUCCAUCAAUUAACUACGGUGUGCGGUGCGUCUCAGAACUGUAUGACAUGUGGAAUUGGGAGAGUUUUUGCGAUCAUUAAAUACGGCGAGUAUACACAUUAUUGAGUAUCUUCCACUUGAAUUUAGUUCUUUUAUACACUAUCAAUUUUGAAGUUAUUCGAGAACAUACCAAUACAUGUUAUCAAAUAGACAGAUCUUAAACUCUAAAUCUAUGUUAUCGAAUUGAUUCAGAAUUGAAGGUGUAUAUGGAUAGCUCCACACCUAAUACUGCUAUAUAUACCUGUCCGUACAGUAGCGAACUGCACUGCACCAUUUCACUUGAAAGAGCUCUUUUGAUAAUGGGAAUAUUUGAGCCACAAUUUUUCAGAGCAUCGAAUUCUAAUCAUCAUCGAGCAUCCUCCGUGCGUAUAGUAUAUAAAUACAUAUAUGUAUAUAUCUUUAUAGAUUAUGGAAAUAAGCUCUCUCUCUCACACACACGCAUAUCUAUACAUACUUACACGUACACACUCUCUCACACACACGGAAAGACAUAGGCACAACCUAAGCAACAUUUUUGGAAAGAGUUUCAAAACGAGUUUUCAAGACAUUUUUGUGGGAAAAUUAACCUUUUAGCUCAUUUUUGUGUGUUCAAGCUUUCAAGAAACAGUCUUCAUCUUCAGCUUCAGCUUUGUCUUUUUUUUGUUUUUGGUUUUUUUUUCGGGGUUUCUUCCGGGAGAGAAACAUAACAGUGAAAGUUGCUUGGGGAUGGGUAUAAGGGGCCUUUGGGCGUUCGCGAAAGGGCUAUUGAAAGGUUCCGAAUGCUUCCGAAGCACGUGUCCCAUUCUAUGCACGCGUUUGCGUCCAUAUAGAAGGACCAAACGAAGGAUCGUUAGAUAAGCAGGCGAAAAAGAAGAGAUACUCGGAGAUCCUUGUGACACGGGAGUUCCCUUAGUCGUCAUCCGACAGAUUCGUGGUGGUAAGCAGCGUGGCAUUAUCUUCGGCUCCCUGCUCCUCAAUGUCCUGUAAAGAAGAGGCAGAGAGAAGUCUUUCAGUUACAUAUGUUCUUAAAUGUGUACAUCCCCUCCCCCACAUCUAUCAGUCAGAGCAUUCUUCAGUUUUUCUUAUAUAAAAUAUAUAUAUUUAUACAUAUAUUUAGCAAUUGUUUUUUUUUGUCUGCUUCGUUUACAAUCUUCGUCUGCUGCUCUGGUUCUUUUAUCUUAAACAUUCUUCAGAUUUAAUUUCUUUUAAGUGGUUUUUCGUUUUUGUUUUAUAAAAAAUAGUUUUACAUGCAAAUAGGACGAUUGGAAAUUGUUGUUAUUGAAAUAAUUUUGUAGGAAUCGCACGAUUACUUAUUACAAAGAGAUUGGAACCAAAAAACACACCACGCACACAUGCA